rnacentral:lncRNA from 1 species
UUAGUUAGGUCAAAAAUAGCACAAGAACGUUGGUUAGCUCAUAACUUAGUGCAUCUUACUCGAAAAUAAACUAAUAAGCUCAAAAUAAGAUAAGUAAUCUUCUUCACCUUCUUCUUCUACUUCUUCUUCUUUUUCUCCUCCUCCUUAUAGUCUUCUUCUCCUUCUCCCCCUCCUUCUUCUAGUUUUAUUCUCCAAAAUGACAUACUUAGCUAAUUAUCCUCCUAAAUGACAUAAUUAGCUUAUUUAGUUCAUUUAUGGCAUAAUUACCUUAGUUAGGUCAAAAAUAGCACAAGAACCUUG